UGGAAGUACUGAUUCUUUGCUGGAUUACAGUGAGGACAGUGAAAAUGAAAAUGAGUGUGGAAAUCCCCUUGCUGAGAACUUAGAUUUUCGUCAAAAUGAAGCUCUUUUUGUGUUAAAGGUGAAGGAAAGAAACCGUAUUACACAGGUGGCUCUUGAUAACAUUAUUGAGAGUACAUCCACAAUAAUGAAUAGUGCCUUGGAA